rnacentral:rRNA from 1 species
CGAACGGAAGGCCCUUCGGGGGACACGAGUGGCGAACGGGUGAGUAACACGUGGGUGACCUGCCCUGUACUUCGGGAUAAGCCUGGGAAACUGGGUCUAAUACCGGAUAUGACCUUCUCCUGCAUGGGGGAUGGUGGAAAGCUUUUGCGGUACAGGAUGGGCCCGCGGCCUAUCAGCUUGUUGGUGGGGUAAUGGCCUACCAAGGCGACGACGGGUAGCCGGCCUGAGAGGGCGACCGGCCACACUGGGACUGAGACACGGCCCAGACUCCUACGGGAGGCAGCAGUGGGGAAUAUUGCACAAUGGGCGCAAGCCUGAUGCAGCGACGCCGCGUGAGGGAUGACGGCCUUCGGGUUGUAAACCUCUUUCAGUAGGGACGAAGCGCAAGUGACGGUACCUACAGAAGAAGCACCGGCCAACUACGUGCCAGCAGCCGCGGUAAUACGUAGGGUGCAAGCGUUGUCCGGAAUUACUGGGCGUAAAGAGCUCGUAGGCGGUUUGUCACGUCGUCUGUGAAAUCCCGAGGCUUAACCUCGGGCCUGCAGGCGAUACGGGCAGACUUGAGUACUGUAGGGGAGACUGGAAUUCCUGGUGUAGCGGUGGAAUGCGCAGAUAUCAGGAGGAACACCGGUGGCGAAGGCGGGUCUCUGGGCAGUAACUGACGCUGAGGAGCGAAAGCGU